UGGAAAUCCGAAUUUAGGUCCUCAUACAUGGGCAGAAACCAUUAUACUUAGCCAUCACCCUAGCCCGGCUUGUACUUUUGAACAGGGUCUCGCUCUGUAGCGCAAGCCAGCUUGGAAUUCACUAAGUAAGAGACUAUCUGUGUGUACUAAACUGGGUCUUAGUCUUUCAUUUUAAUAGUCCACUUUUGAAUACACAGUAAUAGUUUCAAUUUUUUUCUCCCAACACUCACAGAAUCUUUGUGGGCAUAAAUAGAAAGGGAAAAAAAGCUGCCUGAACACACACAAGACAGGGUAUGCGCCUCUAAUCUCGGAGUUCGGGGAUCAGGGAAGUGGAUCUUUUUUAAGAUUUAUUUAUUUUGUGUAUAUGAGUGCUCUAUCUGCAUGUGUGAACAGUUAAGCGUUUAGAUGGUUGUGGACACCAUGUGGUUGCAGGGAAUUGAACUCAGGACCCCUGGAAGAGCAGACAGUGCUCUCAACUACUGAGCCAUCUCUCCAGCCACAAGUGGAUCUUUAAGAGUUAAAGGUUUGCCUGGGAAGACAUUCUUGUAAAACCAGUUUCUGGAAGCAGAGGUGGGUGAUGCUUGAUGAUGGAGCCAGUUCUGAGCAGGGAGCCUGCCCCCACGUCAGGUUAACACAGGCCUUGUUUCUGCUGUAACUGAAUCUACAUGCUCUAGGACCUGCAGGCAGAAAGGACUGCAUCACAAGGUAAAGAGGAGCCAUGUCCAGUACCUUCGCCCACAGUUCCAGGGACCCCACGCAGGGGAGCACACUAAAGAUUCAGCCGAGACGAUGAAAGUCUCCGAAGCAAGAAUGGUUUAUUCGGAUCCUUGGUCAGUUAUAUUUUGGGUUGACUUCUGGUCAUGGGUCCCAUGAUGUAUUCUGAACUUACAUCAAAAUAUAAAGCCCAGUGAUAAAACUUGAAGGAAAAAAGUUUUGUUUUUUUUUUUUUUCUUUAAAAA